rnacentral:tRNA from 1 species
UGCCUUCAUAGCUCAAUGGAUAGAGCAGACCUCUCCUAAGGGUAAGAUCGGGGUUCGAUUCCCUGUGAGGGCAUCC